AAGUUCUAGGUCCAAUUCCAAGCCAUACAAAGUGUUAAGGGCACUUUAACACCCUUUGGGGGUGUUUAUGGUCUAAGAAUAUGUGUUUACGGUCCAAGAACCUUCUUGGGCCGUAAACUCAAGUUUGACACGUAAUUUCAUGCUUUGGUGCAUAUCAUGAAGGAAAAUAAGGCUCUAUGCACUCAAGGAAGUUCAUGGAAGCCCUUGGAGGUGUUUGAGGGGUAGUUUAACACUUAAACAAGUGUUUAUGGUCCAUGCAUAUGGGUUUAUGGUCUAAGAACAUCCUUACACCGUAAACUCAUGUUUACUCCCUAUUUGGUCCUAUUUUGGUAUUUUAAGUCCUUUCAGGUAAACCUCUAAGCCAUUGCUAAGCAUGACAAGUGUUUGGGAAGGGUUUUUGAGCAUUAAAACCCCCAUACAAGGGGUUUAUGGUUUUGGGAUGCUCCCAAGACCGUAAACUCAGGUUUUUGGGGUUUUUGGAUGAUUAAUUCAUGAAUUUGCAAGCUAGAUAAGUUAGAUAACAAGCUAGGAAUGUUUACUUACCGAUUUGAGGCUCGGAGAGGCGAUUUUUGACCAAAACCCGUUUCGUAGAGAGAGAAAGUAGAGAGAGAGAGUCUAAGGUGGGAAAAGGCUUCUAAGGAGUGUUCACCCACCCUUAUAUAGGGCUUGGGUGCAGUACCCGAUAUACGACUACCCGAUACUUAUGUUUAACGGGGUUUAGAAUUUUACCCGGUUAAAUGGCCGUAAAUAAAAAAUAAACUUUUUCCAAUAAAUGGAAAGAUGAUUUACCUGUUUUUAUUUUCGCUUGACGAAUAUUAAUUAAAAUAUUCCAACGGGUUGGCUAAUUUUUGACGUAAUUAAUUUCGACGUUAAAACUAACGAAAAUUUUUGGGUUGUCACAUCAUCCCCCCGUUAGAGGGAAUUUCGUCCCGAAAUUCAGGUUUAGGCAAGGAAGUAGGUAUGAAUGACCGAGUAAAGGUAUGAGGAUACUCCAUAUUCGGUUGGUCCUCGCACUCCCAAGUGAACUCUGGCCUUCGCUUGGCGUUCUAACGAACUUCACUUACGGGAUGCAGACCCCGUCUCAUGCAGUUAGCGAUUCCUACUGGUUCGUUUACGAAGUUAGGGUUCCCAAUGGUUCCUAUCAAGAUGAGUGGGAUACAAAGAGUCACGUUGGGCAAACACUGAUCAAGUCUAGAAACUUGUGGAAUAUUCGAAAGUAGUAGUGGUUUGACGAGGUUUGGACCAAUCUUCGUAAAGAAUCUCGGAUGGUCCGAAGCUCUCGGAAGGGUAGAGCUCUUCAGUACUUAGAACAUAGUGUACUUCUAUGGCGAGAUCAUCACUGGCGUGAUUUCCAUUUCGAAGUUCCAACGUUCUCUCUCAUACUGGAAGUGUAGUCCUUCAGGUGGGUUCCUAGAAAGCUCUGGCUGUCCUUGGAUUUUGUGUUUCUACUGUUUGACUUUCAGAGGUUUUCUGGGUUAUCGAAUGGAUUGCAUGUCUACGGGUAUCUGUUUGCUGUAGAGUGGCUAUCUCAAUCUUGUGCAAAAUGAACCUGCACUUCUAAUUCUUGAGAUAUUUCUAACAGAAACCUUCAGGGUCGGGGAAAUAGGGUUUCACCAGACGAGUGUCGGACUAUCUCGGGAGGUGGUUCCACUAUUUUUGUGCAAGAUAGUAUUCGUGGAACACCUAGUAGUCCAAUGAAUCUUGUAAGACAUGCCCUAAUCUCUAAGGCGCUGGUUUAUUUCAGUUGCAGAAAGCGUGUGCUCUUGUAUAACCCAUCGACUAACACCUAGACUGGUGUCAAGUCUAUAAUCUCUUCGGGAUCUGGGUUAUAAGGCUUAACACAACCUACUUUCGCACUUUAUUCAAGUAUUUUUGGCUGCGGAGAUUAUCCUGUAGUUCUGGGUAUUCUAGUGUUCCACUUUAGAGAAUGUAGUCUGUCGUCUAUAGGGCGACGGUGACUUCCUCCACGUAAGGGGGCGGAGGGUUUCUAGGCACUACUCGUCAGUACCGGGGUGGACGAAGUGCCUGAGUAGUGCGAACAUCUUCUGCAACUACUCUUCCGAAGGUUCUGAGUUUUCUCGGUCUAGGUCAAAUCUAGUGAGUAUAGGGUUCCAUCACUCGGAACUUUAAUUUCCUCAUCCACUCUUCUCAGAGUUCAAUUCAUCGCAACUUUCGGAUUUCCGGGAUAUUCGCUGAGAUGCUUAAUUCGGGGGAUUAAGCGUGAAUGGAUGGUCGUAGUAAAUGUCCUUGACUCUUACGACUCAGAUUUCUUUACUAACUGGGGGUGUUAGCUACUAUAUUGGCUUAACCGGGAUGACAACAAAUUUCGGAUUUGUGGUCAUUAUAGUAGCUCAACCCGCCGUGGUUCUCUUGACUCUAGCUCCUAUUCUAUGGAAUAGGAUGAAGGGCUUUACUAUGAGGUUCGUGGUAGAGCUCAUACUUGGCUUAACUACUAAUACUUGGUGUAUCCAAGUCGUAUAUAAUUGAGGUCCGCAGGAUGUUCAGUUGUGCGACUCCACCCCAGACCCACAACCCAACGAGGAACAGGGAAUAGGGAGGAAGCACACAUCUUAAAUCUUUUUGAUCUCAAUUAUAUACCACCCUUAUGCAUAUACUCAGUUAUAGUAGUGAGUCCCAUGAGUUCUAUUCUCUUGAUUCACGAACCUGAUUGCGAGGUGCGAAUGGUCUUUCUGGGUUUCUACGGUGCCUGCUUCGGGUGGUUAUCGUCUUCUGGAAUGCCUGCAGUGCCUUUCGCUUCGGUUUCUAUCUGUCUAAGAGGGGUUGGUUAACAACGCGCGGUACCUUCUCCUAGGUACUUCAGACGGUUUGGAAUACGAGUGACGACUGACGGAUCGCAUUAGGUUUUAUUAUUCUUAUUUUGUUUAGGUUCGGAAGAACCUUUAUUUGCCGAAAUGGCUACGGAGAAAGUUCUUUUUACACAACACUAGGGAUUUACACAUGGUUGCACGAAGUCGAACCAUGAUUGAUAGAGUCGUCGAAGUUGGCAUACUUCGACAUGAUAUAGAAUGAGAGUCGAUAGGGUCAUGUGCCGAACGAGCACACCAGUUCUAGGCGUCUAGGGUUUCAUCCUGUGUAUCUAUGUCGCAGAUACCUGGACCGAUAAAGUCGACGCGGAACUGUAGAGAGUAGAGUACCUUUUCAUGAAUGGAUUCUCACGAGACAUUUCUAUAAUCGCCUAACAUAUACUAGUCAUGUAUAAUUAAGGUGGGGAGGACUGUUGACUGAGCGACUCCGCCCUAAAUCCACAACCAAACGAGGAACAGGAAAUGAGGCGGCAUUCACUCACUCUAGGUCUAUCCAUCUUAAUUAUACAUUGUCGUUACGUAUAUACUUAGCCAUUAUAGUUUUACCUGAUGAAAAUUUUAAAUUUUAUAACAGUGCUGCGACUUUCGCCUUAAUGGGGAAGUAAUUACAUUUAGAAUUAGCCUUUUAAUGUUUUCGGUUAAUUAUCUGAGAUUGAGAGACGCACCAAAAAUCUACUGGUUUCCUUGAUGCUUCUCCCUAAGCAUUAGAGUUAGACUCUUCCUGUACCCCUGUCGUUUCUCCUGCAGCAGUGAUCCUUAGUAUCCUCCCGUCUGCGCCGGAGUUCUUUAUUAUUGGACAAUCCCUUUUGAGGUGUCCCGUCUCACCGCACUGAUGACAUGCCUGGUUCGUACUAGUAUUGGUAGUAGGAGUGAGGUGCUUAGUCAGGGUUACGUGGACACGGGUGCCCUCCUCGUUCCUCCACUUUGAAAAUUUCCCUUUAAAGAGUCCGACUUUGACACCACCAUUUUGUGUAGGGUUGGACCCGAUGCCAGGGACUUGUGGAAGGGGGCGUGCUGGCGCUGAAGGGGUGGGGGUUUCCACUUGCUGAUGUUGCGCAACAAGUUUGUGGAGUCGUUGGCGCUCCUUUCGAGCUUGACGAUUCCGUUUCCUCUUCUCUGUUUUACCACUUUGCAUGUUCGUGACUGUCGCCAUUCGUUGGUUUCCUAGGUUUGGUCUUGUAGGUGUUGGGAUGGAAGGGUUGGUAGGGGUAUUGACUGCCUCAGCUCGUUGCCCUUCGGAAGGUCCUUGAGCCGAGGUACUUCCCUCCUUGAUCUCGAACUUUCUCUUCAUUGGAUUUGGUUGAGGUUCUUGGGUGGCUGGGUAUGCAGGUGUUGGUUGCUGCUGUCCAUUGAUGGGAUCGGGAUUCCCGAUAGGGCUCUUGCUAACACUUGCAUUGUUAGCAUUCAGUUGAGCCAUGGCAGCUACAACGGUUGCUGAGACUGCAGCCUGGAAAGUAGCUUCAUCGAAUAGGAGAGUCGGUUUCCUGCCAGCGGAUGGGUUACGCUUCUUCGGAGGCAUGGUUUUUCCUACAUGGAAAGGAACACAAGCUGAUGAGAGACGAUGGUUAACCCUGGACGUAUCAAUCCUUACUAUAUUAGGCAUAAAUUUUUUUUCCGUGCUUCGGAUACUGGUUGUCUGAGUGUCGACCUACAUCCCUAUGAUGUAGUCCUGGUAUUCAAGGUAGAAGCGUGAGUAUCGGAAAAGCCAUAAGGUGGAAGUCGUUCCUACUAAGUUACCUUUAUACUGGGAAAGGUUCACUCUCCGGUUUGGAAAGAUUUGAGAACAGUUCGGAACGAAAACCGCGGGAAAGAAGGCUCAUGAAGACUUAUGGCUAAAUACUCUCAAUAGAGGUGCGGGGAUCCGCUCUAAUCGUAUUACUUGCAACGUGAGAAGGCGUUUUACCUAACACAUGGCGUGAGUAGUGUAAUCACUAACUCACUAAAUUGUAUUAUUUUAUGGGUGUAUUAGCGUGACGAACACGAGGAAAAGACACUUCUCGGGUUCCAUGUACUGGCUCCCUCUGUCUACCUCGUAUCUUUGACUGGGACCGGCGUUGGUUUCCUUCGGGCAGUUACCUAGGGUUUUCCUCUCCUAUAGACAUAUUGAAUUUCUGCCCCGUCUUACUUCCAAUUCCGACUCCGGGUGUCACCACUUCAUGAUGGACGACUGGGAAUCUCGGAAGUUUAGGCGAAUUUCCCACCGGUGUCCCUAAAAGAUAUAGGCACUUGGUGGUUUCAAUAGUCUCGGCCUAGUUCAUUUAUUUCCGAACUGGAAAUCUUCUCAAUGAACCUCUUUUGGGUUUGAAUCACCUCUUCUGCCGAGUAUUGAAGUGGAUAGGGUUUUCUACAGGGUUCGUGCGAGAAUAGAAAUGUUUAAAGAAUCCUAAGAGAUUAUUAACAUUUCACUGGGUGAUCCAUCUCGAGUCCUGCUACGAUUACACAGGGUAUACAAAUCAUAUAUAGCUUAGAUCCGACAGGCCUUCGAAUAUGUGAUACUACUCUAUAUCCACAUCCCAACGAGGAAAAGGAAGUAGAGCGAAACCACACAUUCUUAGCCUAUGGGAUCCUUAUUAUAUAUAACCUUGGGAGUAUACCCUCUAUAAUUGUAGGUAUAUCAAUAAGGAUCUUUUUAGUUCUUCACACAAGGUUGUCUAUGGAUCCUAAAAUACCCCUAUGGUAUUUUAAUUUCUUGUUUGUUUCUUAACUUCUGAAUAUGAUUCUGGGAUUAAUGUGAGUCUUUUAGUAUUCCAAAAUACUCCCAUAGUAUUUUAAACAUUAUGUUUGGCUCUAUCAUUCCUGGUUGGUAAGUUUCAGACCUGUUGCAACACCACUAUCAUUCCCAAGCACACGUUCAUCGCAUCUCGAAUAAAUGUAGUUGAUCAGGUUACAUUUAUUCCAACUUACGAUUACAUAACUACCCAGGUUUGACGGUAAUGCUCAACAUCCGAAGACUUUUAUUCUUGUUCUUCUUGUGAUACUUGUGUUCGAGUGUUUAGAUUCUGGAUGUUCUUAUACUUUGGUAAAAUAUGGUUAUAUUUUAAAGUAUAAUUCUUGGUCAGAGUGUUUUAUCCCUAUGUAUUUAUAGGCUGUAUAUCUUUUAUGAAUUGAUAUACUGAGCUCACUAUAAACAAUGCUCUGAUACCAAUCUGUCACACCCCAAAACCGGAACGGCGGAAACGUUCUGGGGUGGAUGACGUCAUGUCAAGUAUCACAACAUAUGCAGUAUAGUAAUCAAAGUACAACAACCAUUGCAUUAAUAGUAAUAGUUUUACAUGGUUUACAUUACAUAGAAACAUCAAAGUAAUACAAGUANGCCUGAGAUGUACCUGUCUAUUGCUGACCUGAGAAUACAAGUUAUUUUGAAAGCGAGUAUCAACAUUUUUAUAAAUGUUGGUGAGUUCAUAAGUAUUUAGUGUCAUUUGUGUAAGUAAGCAUUUUAUUCAAAAUAACUCUAUAAAAAGUAGUAGUUUAGAGUCUACAGUGUAUUAGAGUCCUUUCCAGAAAAUCCUAUAUUUUCUAAAUAAAAGCAGUCUUCUACCAAGACUGGACAGAGUUAUGUUGUAAAAAGUAAUUUUCCCUUAAACACUAUCAUUACCAAAAUACGGUAUUUGAUUUUUAAGAAAGUAGGAGGAUAUUAGGGAAAAUAACAUAUGCCUCAACAGAGAAUACUGCUGACUAAGGCAAAAGAAAUCAUAGACUCCAGGAGAGUAUCGAAUGAACGACACGCCUGGCUCAGUCUAACAAAAGGAGAUACAGACUCCAGACGGUAUCAAAUGCAUGAUACGUCUAGCAAGGUCUAAAACAGAGAGACACAGACCCCAGACAGUAUCAAUUUAAUGAUACGUCUAGCAAGGUCUAAAAACAGUAAACACAGACCCCAGACAGUAUCAAAUGAAUGAUACGUCUAGCAAGAUCAAAAAACAGUGAAUAUAGUGUUAAUUUCCGUUACCUUAAGGUCAUGAAUUAUAAGGUAACCCCGAGAUACUCGUAACCAUACUGAUAGACACUAGAGAACUUGACGCCCUGCAAGCGUCGGAAAGAAUGUGACAUUUGUCACCCCUUGGCUUGGUAGGCCGCGGACUGUAGCUAGCAGUCAGGGUGUGGGGGUGUCAAUCUCGUAUAGAUCUAUACACACAAUGCCCGCUCUCCCUACAAGAGACUCUGGUUACCAACUAGACAACGGAGAAGGUCGUGUCCUGAAGAUGCGUCUCGUGUAGUGAGUGCUGAUGUAAAUACUGGACUAAUGAUAGAGACUCACAAAUAAACUGACCGACGUAAACCUAUAUGUCUAUGCCUGUAUACAUAAUAUAUAAUUAAUGAUCAAACGACCUUCGGACGGAUAUCCGAUCCCACCAUACCACAUCUCAACGAAGAAAAGGAAAUAGGGCGAACUAGAGAACUUGACUCCCUGCAAGCGUCGGAAAGAAUGUGACAUUUGUCACCCCUUGGCUUGGUAGGCCGCGGACUGUAGCUAGCAGUCAGGGUGUGGGGGUGUCAAUCUCGUAUAGAUCUAUACACACAAUGCCCGCUCUCCCUACAAGAGACUCUGGUUACCAACUAGACAACGGAGAAGGCCGUGUCCUGAAUGUAAAUACUGGACUAAUGAUAGAGACUCACAAAUAAACUGACCGACGUAAACCUAUAUGUCGAUGCCUGUAUACAUAAUAUAUAAUUAAUGAUCAAACGACCUUCGGACGGAUAUCCGAUCCCACCAGACCACGUCUCAACGAAGAAAAGGAAAUAGAGCGAACUAGCCUUCCUAAGUCCUUUAAACAUUAUUUAUAUAACUAUCCAAGCACAAGCAUACAUUUAACUAAGUAGAAGCAUUUAACGAAGUUGAAGUGUUUAUCGAAGUAGAAGUGUUUCACGAAGUCGAAGCGUUAACAAGUAGAAGCAUAUCACUAAGUAGAAGCGUAUCAAGAAGUAAAAGCGUUAACAAGUAGGAGCGUAUCACUAAGUAGAAGCGUAUCAAGAAGUAAAAGCGUUAAGAAGUAGGAGUAUUUAACUAAGUAGGAGCGUAUAACGAAGCAGUAGUAUCUAACAAAGUAGGAGUAUAAAAAAACAUGGGAGAAAACUUUGAUGAAAACUUUGGAAAACCUUUAUACUUUAAGAAAAUCAUGACUUGGUAUUCUUUUGUAAAAUAAGUUUGAAAACCUUUAGAAACACUUGAAAAUCUUUUAUAAAUAAGUUUUGAUUAUAACUUUGAUAAAACAAUAUAAGUAAUGAAAACCUUUGUUCAAAAUGCUGCUGUAACUGAAUUUGAAAUAAAAUAUACAGCGCGAGAGACAAUUUAAGAAGAGCUUUGAAUAAUUAAAAACGUCUUAGAAAACCAUUUACAAUAUCAUUCUUGGUAAAACAGUUGACAAUGUAAGAAAUCCUUGUGCAUGCGGGUUAUCAAUCACAUGUGAUUGAUAUGAUAACUGGCAUGUUUUAACUUGUAUCCCCCCCACCCCGUAAAAGCAUGUAAAAACAUUUAAAAGGUUAAUUCAGGAGUAUGAACUCACUUGUUGUAAGUGGAUCGGGUGAAGGUGCCGGUAUAGGAUGCUAAGUGUCAAGUGAGGACUUGACCACACACGCGAAUCCUAUUUAACAUGUAAUGAUACAUUUAAGUAUCUAAUUAGUCAUUUAAUAACUAAUUAAGUAAGUAAGGAUGUCUUACGACAUGAAAACACUUUGCUACAAGUGCUAGAAGUGUCCCGGGUAACAUCUAAGGGUGUGUAUGGCCUAGAUAGGGAGUUUACUCUUCAAGAGUAAACUCUUUAUAGAGUUUACGGCCCUAAGACCUUGUCCCCAUGAGUUUACGGUCGUAAACUCAUGGAUGGUGUGCUCUUUGAUGCAUUAAGGUCUUAUAACACUUGUGGAAUUAGGCUAGGUUCAAUUCUAGGGCUUAUGAAGGGUUUAAGGCUUCAAAAUGGCCAUUUAAGGAGUUUACGGCCUAAGACUACUCCUUGAGGAGUUUAUGACCGUAAACACAUGAGUUUAUGGUAGUAAACUCAUGUUGGUCCAUUUCUUUUGUAGUUUGCUGGUUCUAACUCAUGCAUGUAAGGUUCUAGUCACUUUUAGGAGCAUAGGAAGGUGUUUAGGGCACUUAAACACCUUGGAAAGGUGUUUACGGUCUAAGGAGAUGUUCUUGGGGAGUUUACUACCUUAAACACAUGAGUUUAUGGUAGUAAACUCAUUUUGUCCAUGAACCCUACGUUUUGGUGGUUGUAGGUUAAGCAUACAAAGUUCUAGGUCCAAUUCCAAGCCAUACAAAGUGUUAAGGGCACUUUAACACCCUUUGGGGGUGUUUAUGGUCUAAGAAUAGAUGUUUACGGUCCAAGAACCUUCUUCGGUCGUAAAAUCAAGUGUGACACGUAAUUGCAUGCUUUGGUGCAUAUCAUGAAGGAAAAUAAGGCUCUAUGCACUCAAGGAAGUUCAUGGAAGCCCUUGGAGGUGUUUGAGGGGUAGUUUAACACUUAAACAAGUGUUUAUGGUCCAUGCAUAUGGGUUUACGGUCUAAGAACAUCCUUAGACCGUAAAAUCAUGUUUACUCCCCAUUUGGUCCGAUUUUGGUGUUCUAAGUCCUUUUGGGUAAGCCUCUAAGCCAUUGCUAAGCAUGACAAGUGUUUGGGAAGAGUUUUUGAGCAUUAAAACCCCCAUCCAAGGGGUUUACGGUUUUGGGAUGCUCCCAAGACCGUAAACUCAGGUUCUUGGGGUUUUUG
rnacentral:lncRNA from 1 species